UUAUACCCGCAAAUUCAUUCAGGUCUGUAAUAGAUCUGUCAUUCAACCCCAAAAAUCUAGUGCAAAUAUUACCUUCACCAAUUAGGUAUAAUCAAUGGUAUCGCGGGACAAAAGACUAUCGACAUUUGGUACACUAUUUAUCAAUGGAUGUCUUAUUUUU
rnacentral:telomerase_RNA from 15 species